rnacentral:tRNA from 1 species
UGGACUGGUGGCGCGGUUCAUGCCGGCGGCGGCCCCGGUCGCGCGGGCGUUCGAAAAGGUGUCCGGCCGGACGUUCCCCGCGUUCAGGCCCAA